ACACAUGCAGUCGAGCGGUAGAGAGGUGCUUGCACCUCUUGAGAGCGGCGGACGGGUGAGUAAUACCUAGGAAUCUGCCUGGUAGUGGGGGAUAACGUUCGGAAACGGACGCUAAUACCGCAUACGUCCUACGGGAGAAAGCAGGGGACCUUCGGGCCUUGCGCUAUCAGAUGAGCCUAGGUCGGAUUAGCUAGUUGGUGAGGUAAUGGCUCACCAAGGCUACGAUCCGUAACUGGUCUGAGAGGAUGAUCAGUCACACUGGAACUGAGACACGGUCCAGACUCCUACGGGAGGCAGCAGUGGGGAAUAUUGGACAAUGGGCGAAAGCCUGAUCCAGCCAUGCCGCGUGUGUGAAGAAGGUCUUCGGAUUGUAAAGCACUUUAAGUUGGGAGGAAGGGCAUUAACCUAAUACGUUAGUGCUUUGACGUUACCGACAGAAUAAGCACCGGCUAACUCUGUGCCAGCAGCCGCGGUAAUACAGAGGGUGCAAGCGUUAAUCGGAAUUACUGGGCGUAAAGCGCGCGUAGGUGGUUUGUUAAGUUGAAUGUGAAAUCCCCGGGCUCAACCUGGGAACUGCAUCCAAAACUGGCAAGCUAGAGUAUGGUAGAGGGUGGUGGAAUUUCCUGUGUAGCGGUGAAAUGCGUAGAUAUAGGAAGGAACACCAGUGGCGAAGGCGACCACCUGGACUGAUACUGACACUGAGGUGCGAAAGCGUGGGGAGCAAAC
rnacentral:rRNA from 1 species